rnacentral:rRNA from 1 species
CCUACGGGGGGCAGCAGUGAGGAAUAUUGGUCAAUGGGCGAGAGCCUGAACCAGCCAAGUAGCGUGCAGGAAGACGGCCCUAUGGGUUGUAAACUGCUUUUAUACGGGAAUAAAGUGGGUCUCGUGAGACUUAUUGCAUGUACCGUAUGAAUAAGGACCGGCUAAUUCCGUGCCAGCAGCCGCGGUAAUACGGAAGGUCCGGGCGUUAUCCGGAUUUAUUGGGUUUAAAGGGAGCGUAGGCCGUCUGUUAAGCGUGUUGUGAAAUGUCGUGGCUCAACCUCGGCACUGCAGCGCGAACUGGUAUACUUGAGUGCGCAGGACGUAGGCGGAAUUCGUGGUGUAGCGGUGAAAUGCUUAGAUAUCACGAAGAACUCCGAUUGCGAAGGCAGCUUGCGGUAGCGCAACUGACGCUGAAGCUCGAAAGUGCGGGUAUCGAACAGGAUUAGAUACCCCUGUAGUC